rnacentral:rRNA from 1 species
AGUGGCAGACGGGUGCGUAACGCGUAUGCAACCUACCCCGGAUCGGGGAACAACUUCGCGAAAGUGGAGCUAAUACCGCGUAACAUUGCGGGGAGGCAUCUCUCUGCAAUUAAACUUACGGGGAUCCGGGAUGGGCAUGCGUCUGAUUAGCUAGUUGGUGAGGUAACGGCUCACCAAGGCGACGAUCAGUAGGGGAACUGAGAGGUUGAUCCCCCACACUGGCACUGAGAUACGGGCCAGACUCCUACGGGAGGCAGCAGUAGGGAAUAUUGGGCAAUGGUCGAAAGACUGACCCAGCCACGCCGCGUGCAGGAGGAAGGCCCUCUGGGUUGUAAACUGCUUUAGCAGGGAAGAAAAGGCUCAUGCGUGAGAGAUUGACGGUACCCUGAGAAUAAGCACCGGCUAACUACGUGCCAGCAGCCGCGGUAAUACGUAGGGUGCAAGCGUUGUCCGGAUUUAUUGGGUUUAAAGGGUGCGUAGGCGGCCUGUUAAGUCAGUGUUUAAAUUUUGCAGCUCAACUGUAGGUAUGGCAUUGAUACUGAUGGGCUUGAAUAUCAGAGAGGCAGCUAGAAUUUAUGGUGUAGCGGUGAAAUGCAUAGAUACCAUAAGGAACACCGAUAGCGGAGGCAUGUUGCCAUCUGAUGAUUGACGCUGAGGCACGAAAGUGUGGGGAUCAAA